GACGAACGCUGGCGGCGUGCUUAACACAUGCAAGUCGAGCGGUAAGGCCCUUUCGGGGGUACACGAGCGGCGAACGGGUGAGUAACACGUGGGUGACCUGCCUUUAGCUCUGGGAGUAAGCCUGGGAACCGGGUACGUAAUACCGGAUAUGACUCCGCGGCGCAUGUUGUGGGGUGGAAAGCCUUGUGCGGCUGGAGAUGGGCCCGCGGCCUAUCAGCUUGUUGGUGGGGUGAUGGCCUACCAAGGCGACGACGGGUAGCCGGCCUCGAGAGGGCGACCGGCCACACUGGGACUGAGACACGG
rnacentral:rRNA from 1 species